UACCAGCACCCCGAGUGGUCGGGACGAUUAUUGGGCCUAAAGCAUCCGUAGCCGGCCUUACAAGUCCUCCGUUAAAUCCAGCUGCUUAACAGAUGGGCUGCGGGAGUACUAUAAGACUAGGAGGCAGGAGAGGCAAGCGGUACUCAGUGGGUAGGGGUAAAAUCCGUUGAUCCAUUGAAGACCACCAGUGGCGAAGGCGGCUUGCCAGAAUGCGCUCGACGGUGAGGGAUGAAAGCUGGGGGAGCAA
rnacentral:rRNA from 1 species